UGUGCCUUAUGAGCCAGAUUGAAUUCUUUUGAUGAUGUAACAAAACACAUUGAUGAAGGCAAAGCACUGGAUGCAGUGUCUAUGGAUUUCAGUAAAGCAUUUGAUAAGGUUCCCCAUGCAAAGCUCAUUCAGAAAGUAAAGAGGCAUGGGAUCCAAGGGGACAUUGCCUUGUGGAUCCAGAAUUGGCUUGUUCACAGAUGGCAAAGGGUGGUUGAAGGUAGUUCAUAUUCUGCAUGAAUACGGUGUUCCGCAGGGAACUGUUCUAGGAUCUCUCCUCUUUGCGACUUUUAUAAAUGAACUGGAUGAGGAAGUCGAAGGAUGGGUUAGUAAGUUUGCUGAUGGCACAAAAGUUGGGGGUGUUGAGGAUAGUGUGAAGGGUUGUCAGAGGUUACAGCGGGACAUCAAUAGGAUGCAGAACUGGGCAGAGAAGUGGCAGAUGGAGUUCAACCCAGAUGUGUGAAGUGGUUUACUUUGGUAGGUUAAAUUUGAAGACAGAAUAUAAUAUUAAUGGUAAGACUCUUGGCGGUGUGGAGAAUCAGUGAGAUCUUGCGGUCCAUGUCCAUAGGACACUGAAAGCUGCUGCAUAGGUUGACAGUGUUGUUAAGAGGGUGUAUGGUGUGUUGGCCUUCAUCAACCAGGGACUGAGUUCAAGAGCCGUGAGGUAAUGUUAAAGUUAUAUAAGACUUUAGUUAGACUCCACUUGGAGUAACAUGUUCAGUUCUGGUCACCUCACUACAGGAAGGAUGUAGAUACUACAGAGAGAGUGCAGAGGAGAUUUACACAGAUGUUGCCUAGAUUGGAGAGCAUGCCUUAUGAAAAUAGGUUGAGUGAACUUGGCCUUUUCUCCUUGGAGUGACAGAGGAUGAGAAGUGACCUGAUAGAGGUAUAUAAGAUGAUGAGAGGCAUUAUGUGGAUAGCCAGAGGCUUUUUCCCAGGGCUGAAAUGGCUAACACAAGGGGGCAUAGUUUUAAGGUGUUGGAAGUAGGUACAAGGAGGAUGUCAGAGGCAAGUUUUUCACUUAGAGAUAGGUGGGUGUAUUGAAUGCACUGCCACCGAUGCAAUAAGGUCUUUUAAGAGACUCUUAGAUAGGUACGUGAAACUUAGAAAAAUAGAGGGCUAUGCAGUAGGGAAAUUCUAGGCAGUUUCUAAAGUAGCUUACAUGGUUGGCACAACAUCGUGGGCCAAAGGGCCUAUAUUGUGCUGUAGAUUCUAUGUUCUAAUAAAACAUAUUUCAGCUUUUAGCCAUUCCGAUUUAUUCGACUGUGUGUUCCAUUUCAUCAUUGUCAUGCAUUUAACCGCAGCAUCUAAAUCUGCAAUCCAAACAAUUCUGCAAAAUGAGUGACAACUAUUACUACCGCAACACAGACAAGAUGCUGCAGGAACUCAGCAGGUCAGGCAGUAUCUAUGGAAAUCAAUCAACAGUUGACACUUUGGACCAAGACCCUUCUUCAGGAACAAAACAGAAAGGGAAAGAUGCCAGAAUAAAAAGCUGUAGCAGGAAAUGGCCGAGCAGCCCAUCAUAUUGUUCACCAAGUACUGGUCGUCCGCCAAGUAUUCCAUACAAAUCAGAAGCUGCUUGAGAAGAUGGACCUCCAGAUCAAACACAAAACAUAGCAAGAGAUAUAAAUUUCAAGCUGACAGCAGUCAAUAAGCCAUCGCCAUUCAAUUAAUGGAGGAAACUAAGAAAACUAUCUGAGUGCCGCAUCAAUUGGGCCCAAAGAAAUGUUGCUUACAAAGAACAAGGACACAGUGAAUCCU